rnacentral:rRNA from 1 species
UGAUACCGGCCCUAGUUCUAACCAUAAACGAUGCCAACCAGCGAUCCGCCUGAGUUACUCAAAUGACUCGGCGGGCAGCUUCCGGGAAACCAAAGUAUUUGGGUUCCGGGGGAAGUAUGGUUGCAAAGCUGAAACUUAAAGGAAUUGACGGAAGGGCACCACCAGGAGUGGAGCCUGCGGCUUAAUUUGACUCAACACGGGAAAACUUACCCGGCCCGGACACUGGGAGGAUUGACAGAUUGAGAGCUCUUUCUUGAUUCGGUGGAUGGUGGUGCAUGGCCGUUCUUAGUUGGUGGAGCGAUUUGUCUGGUUAAUUCCGAUAACGAACGAGACUCUAGCCUAUUAAAUAGGUGCGGGGUUCCCAGCACCUUACAACCUUCUUAGAGGGACAAGCGGCUCCUAGCCGCACGAAACAGAGCAAUAACAGGUCUGUGAUGCCCUUAGAUGUCCGGGGCCGCACGCGCGCUACACUGAAGGAGGCAGCGUGUUUUUUUCCCUGUCUGAAAAGACUGGGUAACCCGUGGAACUUCCUUCGUGAUUGGGAUAGGGGCUUGCAAUUGUUCCCCUUGAACGAGGAAUUCCCAGUAAGCGCGAGUCAUAAGCUCGCGUUGAUUACGUCCCUGCCCUUUGUACACACCGCCCGUCGCUACUACCGAUUGAAUGAUUUAGUGAGGUCUUCGGACCGAUGUCCGGCGCGGCCUUUCGGUUGCGCCGGUCUGUUGGAAAGAUGACCAAACUUGAUCAUUUAGAGGAAGUAAAAGUCGUAACAAGGUUUCCGUA